rnacentral:rRNA from 1 species
CAGUAGCCGCGGUAAUACGAAGGGUGCAAGCGUUACUCGGAAUUACUGGGCGUAAAGCGUGCGUAGGUGGUGGUUUAAGUCCGUUGUGAAAGCCCUGGGCUCAACCUGGGAAUUGCAGUGGAUACUGGGUCACUAGAGUGUGGUAGAGGAUAGUGGAAUUUCCGGUGUAGCAGUGAAAUGCGUAGAGAUCGGAAGGAACAUCUGUGGCGAAAGCACUCUGCUGGGCCGACACUGACACUGAGAGACGAAAGCUAGGGGAGCAAAUGGGAUUAGAUACCCGUGUAGUCCCUGUCUCUUAUAC